CUCUCUGUCUCUGUCUUGCUCUCUCUCUCUCUCUCUCUUUCUCUCUCUCCACUUUGUUCUUUAUUUAGAAUUUCCACGCUUUGGUUGCUUCCAGAUGCAGGGAGAUGCCUUUGAAGGAUUUUUUGUUUUGUUUUUGUAAGUGUUGUAAGUCAAGAACAGACUAUGGGAAACGUACAGUACUACAUAGAGCCAUGGCUACAUGGACCUCUAUUCCACAUCAGGUAACUGAUGCAAGCAGUAGAAUCAGAUAAAAAAAAACAGAUAAAAAUACACCUUAUGGAACAGCGGGGACUGUGCAGGGACACACGCACAUGAUAAGACACGCACUCGUACACAUGGAUUUUGUAUUGUAGAUAUUUGAUAGUAGAGUAGGGCCUGAGGGAACACACUUAAUGUGUUGUGAAAAGUGUUAUGAAAUGUAAUGUAAUAUUUUAAAUUGUAUAUAACUGCCGUAAUGUUCCUGGACCCCAGGAAGAGUAGGUGCUGCCAAAGCAGCAGCUAAUGGGAUCCUUAAUAAAUACAAAUACAGCAUGGUAUGUUCAGUGUCAAACUCUCUUAUUGCCCUGUCUCUCUCUCUCGCUCUUUCUCGCAUUUCUCUUUGCUGCAGGUUCGGAGCACAGUUAAAAGGAUCAAGGAGAGAAGAAAAGCGCUACGUUUUUCAAACUGUGCCAGCUCCAGACCCUCCAGCUCAUUAACCAGCUCCCGGCCCGCCAGCUCCCCCACGCCUUCCCCCCAGGGCCCCCAAGGUCCCAGCCUGGACGAAGGGGGGGACAAGACCUGCUCCGGCCAGCCCAGCCCACUCCCCAACCCCACCUACCCCCACACCCUAGGCCUUGUGGAGGAGAACGCCAACAGAGGUGAGCCACAAGCUCCCUCACCCACAGUUCCGAUGACAAUACUACCUACAGGGGUGAAUCGAUGACUACCUCCCUCAGUGCUCUCUGACCCUCAUCCUGAAUGCUCCUUUUCUGAAUUUCACUCAGAAAAGGAGAUCUCAGGCUGUAUAUUGCGUACCAUGGUCUGAGAGCUGAAUGAAAGGGGAGAAAAGACGGCUGAAAGAAUAUACUCAAGCUUUUCACAAAAAAAAAACCUAAAUCUUUCAAAAAAUAUUUAGACACUCAUUCUUCACUUCAAAAACAUAUUACCCUGUGUGGGAGUGUGGCCAAGUGUAGUUUGUAGUCCUACAGACUCCCAUGGACAUAUUGCCCACAGUGGCAUGGGUACGCAUCUCACCCCAGUCUGUACUUUCUUGCUGUCUUCCCCUCUACAACCUGUACCCUGCCUACCUUCCAACUGUUUAAGUAAAUUACGAAAAGGAGGACAGAGUUCUUGUCCUCCUUUUUGUAAAUUUAAUAAAAAAU
rnacentral:lncRNA from 1 species